GGGUCCCAUUUCCAAACUCUUAUGGACCAGGUCCACGUGACUUCACUUCCCCAUCAGGAGCAUCAAGUGACGGUUUCUACACAUCUUCUAUGACUUUUGACUCUUUUGACUCAUUGUUCAUGGAGACCCCAGAGGAACAACAUGUGAUGCUUUCUUCGGAAGACAGGAAAGCAAUUUUUCACAAUGUCAAGACUCAUGUCAUCUCUGAAGUCAGGAAAAACCUCCUUCCAGUUCUGAGGAAAAAAAUUCGAAAGAAGGAAUCAAGCUCCUCGUCAGGAAGUGGCAGGCCCUCCAGUGAAAACUCUGACCGAUGCCUUAGCAGCUCCUCUUUUCUUUCCACUGACUCUUCUUCUAGCAACAACAACACUAUAACAAUGAUGUUCAGUCCGAGGUCAAG